AAUACACAAAUUUCCAAUCUAAAACCAAUCCCAUUAUAUAAUAUGAAUAAGUCAAUCUAAUUCCAGACAAACAACCAGCUGCAACAUCUUCCAAGCCCAUGACAAAAAAAAACUUCCAAUAAAGUCCAUAGCACCCAAGUUGCAUAGCCACACCAUCUAAAGCACUGGAGAAUUUUUAUUUGACCGUGAACCUUCAAAAGACUAAACAAAACCAUUAGCAAUCAACACUUGAAAACUGACAUCCUUUAACGGCAAGUUUAUUUCCACAAAACGCAACAUAGAAUACAAAUCCAAUUAAUGUCAUUUCACUAAUUACAUUUAAUCCAAUUUCAUCUAACAAAUAACAAGCUAACAUGCCAAUUCACGAUUUCAUACUCAUGGUUUCACACGGUUAUAUAAAAUGCAACAUUAACAGGAUUUAUUUAACAUUAUAACUUCUUAACAAUUUCAAAAAAAAUGAAACUAACAAAUAACAAAACUCAAUAAGUAACAAAGAUAAGCUCACUGCAGAAUUCCUAAAAACACUAAUUCUCAACUUCAAUUACUUCAGUAACACGUAGAGGCGACACAACGCAAUCACACACACAACAACGCAAUCAACAGGAAUUGAAAAAUGAGAAUAGGGGAAGAAGAAGCAUAAAAAAGAAAGGAAUUCGUACCUCUUUUUGCCAUCGCGUCGAAACUGGUAAGUUUAGCUUCAAUCUACGUUUAGUUUUCAUUGUCGAAAUCGUGAGGAUCGAAUUCAUGAUGCACAAGCGCGAUGCUCCACGAGGUCUUAAUUAAU
rnacentral:lncRNA from 1 species